rnacentral:rRNA from 1 species
AUUGAACGCUGGCGGCAGGCCUAACACAUGCAAGUCGAGCGAGCGGCGGACGGGUGAGUAAUGUCUGUGAAACUGCCUGAUGGAGGGGGAUAACUACUGGAAAAAGUAGCUCAUACCGCAUACCAUCAGAUGGGCCCAGAUGGGAUUAGGUAGUAGGUGGGGGAAUGGCACACCUACGCGACGAUCCCUAGCUGGUCUGAGAGGAUGACCAUCCAAACUGGAACUGCGACACGGUCCCGACUCCUACGGGAGGCAGCAGGGGGGAAUAUUGCACAAUGGGCGCAAGCCUGAUUCAGCCAUGCCGCGUGUGUGAAGAAGGCCUUCGGGUUGUAAAGCACUUUCAGCGGGGAGGCGUUACCCGCAGAAGAAGCACCGGCUAACUCCGUGCCAGCAGCCGCGGUAAUUC